AGAUGAACGCUGGCGGCAGGCCUAACACAUGCAAGUCGAGCGGUAGCACAGAGAGCUUGCUCUCGGGUGACGAGCGGCGGACGGGUGAGUAAUGUCUGGGAAACUGCCUGAUGGAGGGGGAUAACUACUGGAAACGGUAGCUAAUACCGCAUAACGUCGCAAGACCAAAGUGGGGGACCUUCGGGCCUCAUGCCAUCAGAUGUGCCCAGAUGGGAUUAGCUAGUAGGUGGGGUAACGGCUCACCUAGGCGACGAUCCCUAGCUGGUCUGAGAGGAUGACCAGCCACACUGGAACUGAGACACGGUCCAGACUCCUACGGGAGGCAGCAGUGGGGAAUAUUGCACAAUGGGCGCAAGCCUGAUGCAGCCAUGCCGCGUGUGUGAAGAAGGCCUUCGGGUUGUAAAGCACUUUCAGCGGGGAGGAAGGCGAUAAGGUUAAUAACCUCAUCGAUUGACGUACCCGCAGAAGAAGCACC
rnacentral:rRNA from 1 species